GACGAACGCUGGCGGCGUGCUUAACACAUGCAAGUCGAACGGAAAGGCCCCUUUGGGGGUACUCGAGUGGCGAACGGGUGAGUAACACGUGAGUAACCUGCCCUUGACUUCGGGAUAACUUCAGGAAACUGGGGCUAAUACCGGAUAGGAAUCCUUGCUGCAUGGUGGGGGUUGGAAAGCUUCGGCGGUUUUGGAUGGACUCGCGGCUUAUCAGCUUGUUGGUGGGGUAGUGGCUUACCAAGGCUUUGACGGGUAGCCGGCCUGAGAGGGCGACCGGCCACAGUGGGACUGAGAUACGGCCCAGACUCCGACGGGAGGCAGCAGUGGGGAAUAUUGCACAAUGGGCGGAAGCCUGAUGCAGCAACGCCGCGUGCGGGAUGACGGCCUUCGGGUUGUAAACCGCUUUCAGCAGGGGCGAAGCUUGUGGUGACGGUACCUGCAGAAGAAGCACCGGCUAACUACGUG
rnacentral:rRNA from 1 species